UACAGAGGUCUCAAGCGUUGUUCGGAUUCAUUGGGCGUAAAGGGCGUGUAGGCGGCGCCGCAAGUCGGGUGUGAAAUUUCGGAGCUUAACUCCGAAACUGCAUUCGAUACUGCGGUGCUUGAGGGCUGGAGAGGAGACUGGAAUUCAUGGUGUAGCAGUGAAAUGCGUAGAGAUCGUGAGGAAGACCAGUGGCGAAGGCGGGUCUCUGGACAGUUCCUGACGCUGAGACACGAAGGCCAGGGGAGCAAACGGG
rnacentral:rRNA from 1 species